rnacentral:tRNA from 1 species
CUCCCUGUGGCUCAGUUGGUAGAGCAUGGUGUGUGCAACACCAGGGUUGUGGGUUCAAUUCCCAUGGGGGGGG